AGGCAGCGCCUGCCCAGUGAACAAUUAAACGGCCGCGGUACCCUAACCGUGCAAAGGUAGCGUAAUCAUUUGUCUAUUAAUUGUAGACCUGUAUGAAUGGCACAAUGAGGGCCUAACUGUCUCUUAUAAUAAAUCAAUUAAACUGAUCUUCUAGUACAAAAGCUAAAAUACCAACAUAAGACCAGAAGACCCUGUGAAGCUUUAACUAACCUAUUAAAUCCAAUAAUAGCUACUUUCGGUUGGGGCGACCUUGGAAAAAAAACAAACUUCCAAANNCNUGACUAAAACUCACAAACANNGGCCUACAAGCCNUAAAANCGACCCAGCAUGGCUGAAAAUUGAACCAAGUUACUCCAGGGAUAACAGCGCUAUCUUCUUCAAGAGCCCAUAUCAAAAAGAAGGUUUACGACCUCGAUGUUGGAUCAGGACAUCCUAAUGGUGCAGCAGCUAUUAAG
rnacentral:rRNA from 1 species